rnacentral:ncRNA from 1 species
AAUAACCAAAUAUAGCACUUGGGUUAAGAGUCGGGUUCGUAAUUUUUCUUACAUCUCCACCGCCGGGAGCCCAAGUAUCAUAUACAC